AAUCAACGCUGGCGGCGUGCCUCAGACAUGCAAGUCGAACGAUUAAAGCUCUCUUCGGAGAGUGUAUAGAGUGGCGCACGGGUGAGUAACACGUAAGUAAUCUACCUUCGAGUGGGGAAUAACGUCCGGAAACGGACGCUAAUACCGCAUAAUGCAGCGGCAUCGCAAGAUGACAGUUGUUAAAGAUUUAUCGCUUGAAGAGGAGCUUGCGGCAGAUAGCUAGUUGGUAAGGUAAUGGCUUACCAAGGCUACGAUCUGUAACCGGUCUAAGAGGACGGUCGGUCACACUGACACUGAAUAACGGGUCAGACUCCUACGGGAGGCAGCAGUCGGGAAUUUUGGGCAA
rnacentral:rRNA from 1 species